CGGUGAGGUAGAGGUGCAGACAGGAUCAGUAUCCUUUUGGAGGAUGAUAACUGGGAAGAUUGGUGAAAGGCCUGUUUGCCGAAGUAUUAAGGGAGUGUCAGCCCCUUAUUACUGGUAUUAUGUCGAAUAGGGAUAAUACUGUCAUGUCUGGAAAGAAUAGCAUGAAGGGCUACUGAUCGA
rnacentral:ncRNA from 1 species